GUGCCAGCAGCCGCGGUAAUUCAGCACCAAUAGCGUAUAUUAAAGUUGUUGUGGUUAAAAAGCUCGAAGUUGAACCUUGGGCCUGGCUGGCCGGUCCGCCUCACCGCGUGCACUGGUCCGGCCGGGCCUUUCCCUCUGUGGAACCCCAUACCCUUCACUGGGCGUGGCGGGGAAACAGGACAUUUACUUUGAAAAAAUUAGAGUGCUCCAGGCAGGCCUAUGCUCGAAUACAUUAGCAUGGAAUAAUAAAAUAGGACGCGCGGUUCUAUUUUGUUGGUUUAUAGGACCGCCGUAAUGAUUAAUAGGGACAGUCGGGGGCAUCAGUAUUCAACUGUCAGAGGUGAAAUUCUUGGAUCAGUUGAAGACUAACUACUGCGAAAGCAUUUGCCAAGGAUGUUUUCAUUAAUCAGGAACGAAGGUUAGGGGAUCGAAGACGAUCAGAUACCGUCGUAGACUUAACCAUAAACUAUGCCGACUAGCGAUCGGACGGCGUUAUUCAUGACCCGUUCGGCACCUUACGAGAAAUCAAAGUGCUUGGGCUCCAGGAGGAGUAUAGUCGCAAGGCUGAGACGUAGAGAAAUUGACAGAAGGACACCACCAGCCCUGGAGCCUGCGGCUUAAUUUGACUCAACACGCGGAUACUCAUCAGGGUCCUAGACACAAUACGGAUUGACAGAUUGAGAGCUCCUAUCCUUGAUUUUGUUGCUUUGGCGGGUGCAUCCGUCGUUUCUUAAUUCGGAGGAGUUGACCUUGCUUGCCUUGAUUGCGAUAUAGCGAACCGAGACCUUCUAUCUGUCUUAAUAUUGCCGGCUUUGAGGUGCCGGACAGAUGAAGCUGGCUGUGACUAC
rnacentral:rRNA from 1 species